rnacentral:rRNA from 1 species
UGGGGAAUUUUGGACAAUGGGCGAAAGCCUGAUCCAGCAAUGCCGCGUGUGUGAAGAAGGCCUUCGGGUUGUAAAGCACUUUUGUCCGGAAAGAAAUCCUUGGCUCUAAUACAGUCGGGGGAUGACGGUACCGGAAGAAUAAGCACCGGCUAACUACGUGCCAGCAGCCGCGGUAAUACGUAGGGUGCAAGCGUUAAUCGGAAUUACUGGGCGUAAAGCGUGCGCAGGCGGUUUGCUAAGACCGAUGUGAAAUCCCCGGGCUCAACCUGGGAACUGCAUUGGUGACUGGCAGGCUAGAGUAUGGCAGAGGGGGGUAGAAUUCCACGUGUAGCAGUGAAAUGCGUAGAGAUGUGGAGGAAUACCGAUGGCGAAGGCAGCCCCCUGGGCCAAUACUGACGCUCAUGCACGAAAGCGUGGGGAGCAAACAGGAUUAGAUACCCUGGUAGUCCACGCCCUAAAACGAUGUCAACUAGUUGUUGGGGAUUCAUUCCUUAGUAACGUAGCUAACGCGUGAAGUUGACCGCCUGGGGAGUACGGUCGCAAGAUUAAAACUUAAAUGAAUUGACGGGGUCAUAGCUGUUUCCU